rnacentral:rRNA from 1 species
GACGAACGCUGGCGGCGUGCUUAACACAUGCAAGUCGAACGGAAAGGGCCUGCUGGCAGUGUAGUCGAGUGGCGAACGGGUGAGUAACACGUGGGGGAUGUGCCGUGUGCGUCGGGUUAAGCCCGGGGGACUGGGGCGAAUGCCGGCGAGGGGCCAUACUGAGUGUGGUGGUUGGACAGUUUUGUCGUAGUAGGAUGGGUUUGCGGCCUAUCAGCUGGUUGGUGGGGUAAUGGACUACCAAGGCGGCGACGGGUAGCCGGCCUGAGAGGGUGGACGGCCACAUUGGGACUGAGAUACGGCCCAGCCUCCUACGGGAGGCAGCAGUGGGGAAUAUUGCACAAUGGGAGCAAGCCUGAUGCAGCGACGCCGCGUGGGGGAUGACGGCCUUCGGGUUGGAAACUCCUUUCGCUAGGGACGAAGCUUUUUGUGACGGUACCUAGAUAAGAAGCACCGGCUAACUACGUG